rnacentral:rRNA from 1 species
GACGAACGCUGGCGGCGUGCUUAACACAUGCAAGUCGAACGGAAAGGCCCUGCUUGCAGGGUACUCGAGUGGCGAAUGGGUGAGUAACACGUGCGUGAUCUGCCCUGCACUUCGGGUUAAGCCUGGGCAACUGGGUCUAAUACCGGCUAGGAGCCAUUUUUAGUGUGAUGGUUGGAAAGUUUUGUCGGUGUAGGAUGAGCUCGCGGCCUAUCAGCUUGUUGGUGGGGUAAUGGCCUACCAAGGCGGCGACGGGUAGCCGGCCUGAGAGGGUGGACGGCCACAUUGGGACUGAGAGACGGCCCAGAUUCCUACGGGAGGCAGCAGUGGGGAAUAUUGCACAAUGGGCGCAAGCCUGAUGAAGCGACGCCGCGUGGGGGAUGACGGCCUUCGGGUUGUAAACUCCUUUCGCUAGGGACGAAGCUUUUUGUGACGGUACCUAGAGAAGAAGCACCGGCUAACUACGUG